AACGCACCUUGCGCCCUGUGGCUUUCCACAGGGCACGCCCGUUCGAGUGUCACGUUAACCCUCGCCAGCGGUACGGCAACGUAUCGUGAAGCGGAUUUGGGCGUUGCCGGUCGUGAGAUCGGCUCGUCUCGAAAUGCAUUAGCGAAGUGCGAAGCACGUGCGACGUUGAUAAUUGUCUACGCCUCGCGGACUUUGCUCCUCGCUUCCAAUCGUCGUGAGACAAUCAUCAUGGUUUGACCUCGAAUCGGGUGGGACUACCCGCUGAACUUAA
rnacentral:misc_RNA from 2 species